GACGAACGCUGGCGGCGUGCCUAAUACAUGCAAGUUGAGCGCUGAAGGUUGGUACUUGUACCGACUGGAUGAGCAGCGAACGGGUGAGUAACGCGUGGGGAAUCUGCCUUUGAGCGGGGGACAACAUUUGGAAACGAAUGCUAAUACCGCAUAAAAACUUUAAACACAAGUUUUAAGUUUGAAAGAUGCAAUUGCAUCACUCAAAGAUGAUCCCGCGUUGUAUUAGCUAGUUGGUGAGGUAAAGGCUCACCAAGGCGAUGAUACAUAGCCGACCUGAGAGGGUGGUCGGCCACAUUGAGACGGAGACACGGCCCAAACUCCUACGGGAGGCAGCAGUAGGGAAUCUUCGGCAAUGGACGAAAGUCUGACCGAGCAACGCCGCGUGAGUGAAGAAGGUUUUCGGAUCGUAAAACUCUGUUGGUAGAGAAGAACGUUGGUGAGAGUGGAAAGCUCAUCAAGUGACGGUAACUACCCAGAAAGGGACGGCUAACUACGUG
rnacentral:rRNA from 1 species